UCCGGUUUGGCACCGGCAGUCUCCCAUGAGUUCCCACCAUCACGUGCUGGCAACAUACGACGAGGGUUGCGCUCGUUGCGGGACUUAACCCAACAUCUCACGACACGAGCUGACGACAGCCAUGCACCACCUGUGCACCGGCCCCGAAGGGCUGCCGUAUUUCUACGACAUUCCGGUGCAUGUCAAGCCCUGGUAAGGUUCUUCGCGUUGCGUCGAAUUAAACCACAUGCUCCGCUGCUUGUGCGGGCCCCCGUCAAUUCCUUUGAGUUUCAGCCUUGCGGCCGUACUCCCCAGGCGGGGCACUUACUGCGUUAGCGACGGCACCGGGAGGGUCGCUCCCCCCGACGCCUAGUGCCCAUCGUUUACGGCGUGGACUAC
rnacentral:misc_RNA from 1 species